rnacentral:tRNA from 1 species
UGGCUCAGUUGGUAGAGCAUGGUGUUUGCAAUGCCAGGGUUGUGGGUUCAAUUCCAAU